GACGGAGGGUGCUAGCGUUGUUCGGAUUUACUGGGCGUAAAGGGCGCGUAGGCGGCCCUGUCAGUCGGGUGUGAAAGCCCGGGGCUCAACCCCGGAACGGCACCCGAGACGGCAGGGCUGGAGACCGGGAGAGGAGGGUGGAAUAGCCAGUGUAGAGGUGAAAUUCGUAGAUAUUGGCUGGAACACCGGUGGCGAAAGCGGCUCUCUGGCCCGGUUCUGACGCUGAGACGCGAAAGCGUGGGGAGCGAACAGG
rnacentral:rRNA from 1 species